UACGGAGGGGGUUAGCGUUGUUCGGAAUUACUGGGCGUAAGCGCGCGUAGGCGGAUUAGAAAGUUGGGGGUGAAAUCCCGGGGCUCAACCCCGGAACUGCCUCCAAAACUACUAGUCUAGAGUUCGAGAGAGGUGUGUGGAAUUCCGAGUGUAGAGGUGAAAUUCGUAGAUAUUCGGAGGAACACCAGUGGCGAAGGCGGCUCACUGGCUCGAUACUGACGCUGAGGUGCGAAAGUGUGGGGAGCAAACAGG
rnacentral:rRNA from 1 species